rnacentral:rRNA from 1 species
CCUGUUUAACAAAAACAUGUCUUUUUGAGUUAUUUUAAAAGUCUGACCUGCCCACUGAAAUUGUUUAAAUGGCCGCAGUAUUCUGACUGUGCAAAGGUAGCAUAAUCAUUAGUCUUUUAAUUGAAGGCUGGUAUGAAUGGUUGGACGAAGUAUAAGCUGUUUCAUAUAAAUUUAUAGUAGAAUUUUAUAUUUUAGUUAAAAAGCUAAAAUUUAAUUAAAAGACGAGAAGACCCUAUAAAUCUUUAUACUUAUGUUAUUUAAUUUUUGUGGAUUUAUUUUAUUUUUAUAAUUUAAAGUAUUUUGUUGGGGUGAUAUUAAAAUUUAAUGAACUUUUAAUUAUUUAAAAUCAUUAAUUUAUGAAUUAUUGAUCUAUUAAUAGUGAUUAUAAGAUUAAGUUACUUUAGGGAUAACAGCGUAAUUUUUUUGGAGAGUUCAUAUCGAUAAAAAAGUUUGCGACCUCGAUGUUGGAUUAAGAUAUAUUUUUAGGUGCAGCUGCUUAAAU